CUCGCCUUUUGGAAAAUUUCAUUAGUGACCUUACCACGAUCGGGAUACUGCGCGAGUAAGGUUUUUAAUUCCUUAUUUUAAUAGUUAGAAUUUUACUAAAACUACAACAAAGGCUUGGGCUUGUGACCCACGCAUCUAAGAAUGAAGAUAUAGUGAUUUAUGCAAAGGAAGAAGUUGGAACAAAAGAUGCGAAGGUUCGCUUAUCAUGUAAAACAAAUCCAAGAACCAGUAUUUUCAUAUAAACCACAUUCAUAGUGUACGGUUUCCAUCAU
rnacentral:lncRNA from 1 species